CAGCCGCCACGGUAAUACGUAGGUCCCGAGCGUUGUCCGGAUUUAUUGGGCGUAAAGGGAGCGCAGGCGGUUUAGUAAGUCUGAAGUUAAAGGCAUUGGCUCAACCAAUGUAUGCUUUGGAAACUGUUAGACUUGAGUGCAGAAGGGGAGAGUGGAAUUCCAUGUGUAGCGGUGAAAUGCGUAGAUAUAUGGAGGAACACCGGUGGCGAAAGCGGCUCUCUGGUCUGUCACUGACGCUGAGGCUCGAAAGCGUGGGUAGCGAACAGGAUUAGAUACCCCUGUAGUCCCUGUCUCUUAUACC
rnacentral:rRNA from 1 species